GAACGGCAGCGCGGGAGCAAUCCUGGCGGCGAGUGGCGAACGGGUGAGUAAUACAUCGGAACGUGCCCAAUCGUGGGGGAUAACGCAGCGAAAGCUGUGCUAAUACCGCAUAAGAUCUACGGAUGAAAGCAGGGGACCGCAAGGCCUUGCGCGACUGGAGCGGCCGAUGGCAGAUUAGGUAGUUGGUGAGGUAAAGGCUCACCAAGCCUUCGAUCUGUAGCUGGUCUGAGAGGACGACCAGCCACACUGGGACUGAGACACGGCCCAGACUCCUACGGGAGGCAGCAGUGGGGAAUUUUGGACAAUGGGCGCAAGCCUGAUCCAGCCAUGCCGCGUGCAGGAUGAAGGCCUUCGGGUUGUAAACUGCUUUUGUACGGAACGAAACGGUCCUUUCUAAUANAGGGGGCUAAUGACGGUACCGUAAGAAUAAGCACCGGCUAACUACGUG
rnacentral:rRNA from 1 species